GACAACAUAAACAGAGCACAAACACACACACAUCAUGCGCCCUGGUGACCAGACAUCUCCUUCAUAAAACGAGUAAUAGGGGGAAUAAUCGGGCAGUUCGAU